AUUUAUAAAUUUUGAGCUUUUGUAAAACUGGGUCGUAUUUUUUGAUUUUGCAGAUUCGAUCCGAAUUUUCAGCAAACUGAUCAAAAUAUUUUUAUUACUUUUUCUCUUUCCUCUUUCUCUUUUUUUUUUUUUUCCUCUCGUUCAUUUUUUUUUCUCUCACCGAAGAAGGCUGCGGAAGCAAAGACGAAACGGAAACGGCCCGCCUCACAUCUCACUCUCAUGCUUUCGCACUCACUCGCGCACCCCCCGCCUUCGACCCUGUCGAGGCUGCGCUGCGACUCUUUUUUUUUGUUAAGAAUUUUCUAAGUUGACGAAUUUCGUGAAGCCGAAUGGAGUCUUUUAGAGUUAAAAACGAAGUUUUGGCGAGAAGAUUCAAUUUGGAGAUCAAAGACUC
rnacentral:lncRNA from 1 species